UAAGGUGGUCAAAUGUCAUGACGUCAAUCCGAUGCGUUGUUUAUAGUCCAGAAGCAGCAGGGAAUGAGUUAUCCAUUCGCAUUCUCAGCUUAAAGGGAAACGAAGCCCUUGUGAUGUCGUGAAACAUGCAGAACAGGCGACGUUCACUGCUUUGAGUGUUGAACAAGACAGACAAUCUGUCCAAAAAAAAUGUUUUAAUUUCAGAUGGCAAUCGAAAAAAAUACUAUAAAAGAUAAUUCAAUUGACCAAAUUUUCUUUUAAUCCUACGUUAAGCUUUCUUCAAAAGGUCGGAAGUACAGCAGACAGUUACACGUCAAUUACCAGCAGCAGGCAAUUACCUAGAAGCAGCAGGCAAUCAACCAAGAAGGAUCGGCUGAAGUUGCUUGUGAAAAGCAUAUUUCCGGCUACGUAAUGCUAGACGGCAACGACUAGCAGAAGACUGGGUACUUCACGUCCCCCGCGAAGGGAGAUGUAAUGAGGAGUUGGAACCAUCACUUAAGCCGGAACCAGAGGAUGAAAGCGAGCGACAACUGCACGAGAGGAUGAGCUCAUUCGAGAAGUGAAAAUAAACAGUUUUUCUACAAAAACCAGUGGGCAACUGAAUACUAGUACUCGGACGCUAAAGAUCGUUUGAUUGAGGCACAAUUUAACGUCAAGGUACCAAGGAAAGUACCUCCUCUACUUCUAAAACGACACGUACGAAAACGACGAAAACGUACUUAGACUAGGGUGCAUCUAAAUGGCACACUGUGUUAUGGUCAGAUGAGUCGGAAUUUAACCUUAUUGGUCCUGAUGCCCAACAGCUAGUAAGAAGACCCAUUAAUUCUGCCCUCAAUCCAUAAUACACCAAGAAAACAGUAAAUUUUAGAGGUGGCCACAGAAUGAUUUGGGGCUGCUUUUCUGAUACUGGUGUAGGACCAAUUUGAUAACAGUCGCUAGACUAUGUGGAUAUUUUACGUAACGUGAUGUUUCCGAAAACACAACAUUGAAAACUCGAAGAUGGUUUGCAAACGAAAAUAUAAAACUGUUGGAUUGGCCAGCACAGUCUUCGGAUUUAAACCUUAUAGAAAAUCUAUGGAAGAUUGUGAAGGUCGAGGUUGCAAAACAUCUUCCGAAGAAUAAAACAGACUUACGGAACGUCGUACAUGCAGCGUGGUAUGCUAUUCCAAGUUCUACUUGUAAAAAACUGGUGGCAAGCGUUCCACAAAGAAUAUGGUUCUACGAAACAGAGGAUAUGCCACGAAAUAUUGAAAUGGUGUAUUUAUUUUCUUCGCCAUCUGGAAAACACCAGUUCCCGCAAAAAACUUUCGGAAUGACUAACACAGAUAAAUUCCGAUUAUGUCUCCGUUCCCAUAUUGAAUAGUGUUUCCGCCAUCACAGUCAGUUUCGCCAUCACUGUAUUAUCACCAACAUGUGCAUCACUGAGAAACCUCUCAUCAGACUAUUAACGCUCCAGGCAACAGACAAAUGUAUGAAAGCAUAGUGUUUACGGUACCAUGUCUACCGCACAGAAAGAUACAUAUCGCUAUGUACACACAUACACACACACUAACCCUUCUAAAGCCUUCACAAGAGCAGCGAUAUUUCUCCAACAGACAGUCCUUUUUCCACGUCAGAAGCAAUAUCCUAUAGUAGACAUACUGUGGGAAGGUGUUCCACAUCCUGGCGGUGCCAGUGUUCAAUGUAUACAGCUGCUCACAGACUGCAAUAAACUCGCCGAUCAUUCCAAUCAACACAAAGGAUGAAUCCAUUACUUCCAGUUGAAAUUGAACGUUCCUACGAAAAUUUGCAACGAUGAGAAAUCCAAGCAACAACAAUGUCUACUGGUCUAGCGAUACUGAAAGGAAUACCUCGUUGUCGCUACCCGCUCACGGAAUUCACAAUACGAGUUCUAAUGCCUGUGAGUCACCGUAUGAAGUAUGACGACAACAGCGGCAGAAACCACUCCAAGUUCGAAUCGUGAUAAGAUAAAACAUCAAUCAACUCACCUAUGAUUACAGGUUGGUUAAAGUAUAUAAACAUAACAAACCUUUGCCAGCUUAUGACAAACGUCAAUAUAAGAAAUCCGAU